rnacentral:rRNA from 1 species
CCCUUAGAUGUUCUGGGCCGCACGCGUGCUACACUGAGUAAAUCAAUGGGUAAGGGAACACGAAGGUGCAACCUAAUCUUGAAAUUUGCUCGUGAUGGGGAUCGACGGUUGCAAUUUUCCGUCGUGAACGAGGAAUACCUUGUAGGCGCGUGUCAUCAUCACGCGCCGAAUACGUCCCUGCCCUUUGUACACACCGCCCGUCGCUCCUACCGAUUGAGUGAUCCGGUGAGGCUCUGGGACCUGGACGGAAAGAGCGUUUCGCUUGUUCUGUUUGGGAAACUUGGUCGAACCUUAUCAUUUAGAGGAAGGAGAAGUCGUAACA